rnacentral:ncRNA from 1 species
GUUAAUAUGUUGACGGGGAAGAGUAGCCGUAAGUGGAUCUAAAGCGAGUCAUUGGUUAGUGCGAAAUGGCGGUCGCUAACGGUGAAUGGGCCCUAGAGUGCCAGCGUGAAUUAAGUAGCGGUGGCGGUGUUUGCGCCUUAAGCAAGAGUGGUGUCGCAGUGGCGGCACAAUUUAGGUGGUACCACGACAUUGAGCGUCCUAUUG